UACGGGGGGGCAAGCGUUGUUCGGAAUUACUGGGCGUAAAGGGCUCGUAGGCGGCCUACUCAGUCAAACGUGAAAUCCCUCGGCUUAACCGGGGAACUGCGCUUGAUACUGGAUGGCUUGAGAUUGGGAGAGGGAUGCGGAAUUCCAGGUGUAGCGGUGAAAUGCGUAGAUAUCGUUUGGAACGCCAAUGGUGAAAACAGGUCGCUGGGGAUGAGCUGACGCUGAGACACGAAAGCCAGGGGAGCAAACGGG
rnacentral:rRNA from 1 species